rnacentral:tRNA from 1 species
GGAGGGGCUCGAGUGGUAGAGCACAUGCUUGGCAUGCACGAGGUUCUGGGUUCAAUCCCUAGGACCUCCA